rnacentral:tRNA from 1 species
GCGCCUGUAGCUCAGUGGAUUGAGAGCACUUCGCUUCGGACGAAGGGGUCGGGGGUUCGAAUCCCUCCAGGCGCG